rnacentral:tRNA from 1 species
GGGGGUAUAGCUCAGCUGGGAGAGCGCAACGCUGGCAGUGUUGAGGUCAUCGGUUCGAUCCCGAUUAUCUCCA